UACGUAGGGUGCAAGCGUUAAUCGGAAUUACUGGGCGUAAAGCGUGCGCAGGCGGCUAUGCAAGACAGAUGUGAAAUCCCCCGGGCUCAACCUGGGAACUGCAUUUGUGACUGCAUAGCUAGAGUACGGUAGAGGGGGAUGGAAUUCCGCGUGUAGCAGUGAAAUGCGUAGAUAUGCGGAGGAACACCGAUGGCGAAGGCAAUCCCCUGGACCUGUACUGACGCUCAUGCACGAAAGGCGUGGGGAGCAAACAGGAUUACGAAACCCC
rnacentral:rRNA from 1 species